rnacentral:rRNA from 1 species
ACACAGGUGCUGCAUGGCUGUCGUCAGCUCGUGUCGUGAGAUGUUGGGUUAAGUCCCGCAACGAGCGCAACCCUUGUCAUUAGUUGCUACGCAAGAGCACUCUAAUGAGACUGCCGGUGACAAACCGGAGGAAGGUGGGGAUGACGUCAAGUCCUCAUGGCCCUUAUGGGUAGGGCUUCACACGUCAUACAAUGGUACAUACAGAGGGCCGCCAACCCGCGAGGGGGAGCUAAUCCCAGAAAGUGUAUCGUAGUCCGGAUCGUAGUCUGCAACUCGACUACGUGAAGUUGGAAUCGCUAGUAAUCGCGGAUCAGCAUGUCGCGGUGAAUACGUUCCCGGGUCUUGUACACACCGCCCGUCACACCAUGGGAGCGGGUUUUACCAGAAGUAGGUAGCUUAACCGCAAGGAGGGCGCUUACCACGGUAGGAUUCGUGACUGGGGUGAAGUCGUAACAAGGUAGCCGUAUCGGAAGGUGCGGCUGGAUCACCUCCUUUCUAG